rnacentral:lncRNA from 1 species
AGAUGCUAUCUGAAGAACAGAAAGGAAGAUAUCAUCAGAAGGCAAUGAAAAAUUGCAAACACCAAUCUGUUGCUCUUUACCAUCAUCUAAAGUGUAACAGCUAGAUGUAUUUAAAUCCUAGGCAAGUGACCCAACAAUCAUCAAAAUCACUAUUAAAUAGUGAUGGUGGAUCAUUGAUAUUUUCAAUUGGAUUGAUUGAAUGUCCAAGAACUGAUAUUGCUACAGAUGUGGGAGUACUUGUUAGUAUUGGAGGAGAUCCACUUCCAGUCAAAUUUGCAGCCCGGCAGAUGCUGUCCACUUCUUUCUUUUCUAACAUCCUUCAAAUAAUUUAUUAUAUUCAUAGAUCUAUAUAAGUGCAAAUAUUAUUUUAUUUUUUAAAAAUUAAUUUUUGACGGAUAUAUGAAACUAUUAAUACAAAUGUUUCAUUAAAAGCAAUACAAAAAGCUUUUAAGGUACAAUUUUAUAUUAAUUAAAAUAGCAUUGAUCGAAGGAUAACGAUGAGCAGAGAAGGUUUUCCAAGGGAACUGCACUUCUGUCUGGUGCGGGGUUUGAGGAAAUUAAC